GUGCUGGCUUCAGCAGCACCCAUAAUAGGCUUGGAAUGAUACCAAAAAUAUGAGCAUGGCCUUGUUCAAGGAUGACACCAAAGUCAAGAAGUAUAUCUUAUUUUU